CAGGGGCUGCUCUGAACAGGCAGGUGGAGACACCUCAGCCCGGACAGACGCCACCGACAGCCCAGAAGGACCCCAAGGAGCAGCUGGCAUUGCCUGGGAUGGAGGCACGGGCCGUUUGUAGGGGGCCUCAGACAGCAGUUCCCAUUUCCGAUCUCCCAGAGCUCCCACACAGCUGCCAGAUAUUGAAUCCCAAGCAAUAUACCUUGGAGAUGCCUUAAAAUCAGAGGUUUGAGCAGGAUGAAGUUUGGAACUUUCCAGGGAGCCAGCUGGAAGUGCAGAAGUGGUGGAAAACUUUCACAGUGAGAAGAACAGGAACUCAUAGCCACUGAGGCCUGACAGGUUCCUGCAGCGAGGGCUCAGCGC